rnacentral:rRNA from 1 species
AGACUGCCGGGGUCAACUCGGAGGAAGGUGGGGACGACGUCAAAUCAUCAUGCCCCUUAUGUCUUGGGCUUCACGCAUGCUACAAUGGCCGGUACAAAGGGUUGCGAUACUGUGAGGUGGAGCUAAUCCCAAAAAGCCGGUCUCAGUUCGGAUUGGGGUCUGCAACUCGACCCCAUGAAGUCGGAGUCGCUAGUAAUCGCAGAUCAGCAACGCUGCGGUGAAUACGUUCCCGGGCCUUGUACACACCGCCCGUCAAGUCACGAAAGUUAGUAAC